UAAUACUCAAUACAUUGUUAUGAAAGGUUAUCGAUUACUAGUAUAUUGAAAUAUGAUACCACUUCCUCUUAUCGACGUGGCUCUUUGAAUUCGAAAGUAGGCAUAUACGUUAUGGCUGUGACAUGGGAAUGGCAAGAGAGAUACCCGGAUAGGUGGCGGUCGUAGCCAAGGGAUAUAUCAGAUUUUUUGGAAGUGAGUCAAGACUCAGAUGAACUACUAGACCUUGGAUUGAUUAAUACACGAUUUGAACCGUAUUGGAUAGACAUGAGACGGAUGGCUCAGAUUCGUAAAGACACGGAAAAAAUGCGGAAAAUACGUCGCCGAGGUGAAAUUCGGCCAGAAGAGAAAGGCAGUCCUCUACAUUCGGAGUCAUCAUCCCGUAUGCCCUUCAUCAAUAACAUCAUCAACAUCAACACAACAGACCGCAGACCACACACGCAGGACCAGCAUGGCAGGAAUCCCACAACAAACUCCAUGUUUGCGCAAAUGAAUCGUUGGCAAUGUUGGAUUGUUCUUAUAGUUUUGUUUCUGGGGUUAUAUUUGUUCAGGGAUGAUGUCCGUGCUAUUCUCGGGACUAUUAUUCAAUUGGCGAGUAUUUUUCUGAUGUUAAUGACGUAUAAAUUUAUAAUGUUUUUGUGUCGGUAUUUUAAAUGAUUUUUUAUAAUAACCUCAAUGUGUGAUCGAGAAGGUAUAUUUGUACUAUAUGUUGUGUGUUUUGUGGGAAUACAAACAGUUCUAUUAAACUA